UUCAGCUGUCAUUAUGCUCUCAAAUGUCAUCAUAUUGUCAAUAAAGUUGACCGUGUAACGUCCGCUUUAGAUGGGAUCUUUCGCAAAGUCGAUAACGAGUAUCGAAGGAAAUUUUACAUUCUUGUGGCACUUGUCUAUCGCUGUGAAUAUUGAAUUGCAUUUCGGUUGAACUGUUGGCGAGUAUUUUCGGCAAUUGGCGGGUUACACAGUAUUUCCGAAAGAGUCGUGUAAAGAGCGACCCAAUGCAUUCCAGCUGUCGAGGUAAACACUUGAUUAUUUGGUAAAGAAUCGCUUCGAAAUGCAGCGGGUGAGAAAUUGCGUAGGAAAGAUUGUAAAUAAGUGAUGUGGCGAAUAAUGCUCCGAUCGAGUAUUUGAAUAUAGUCGGUUUGUUGCUGAAAGCGCACGAUGGUAAAAUGUUCAAUGUUGAUGUUUUGGACGACGAAUACUAUCUCUCGAAUGGACAGACGACCACAGGUCUGAUGAGAUUGAAAACAAGAUGAAAGUCGAAACAAUAAUGUUAAUCCCUAGGCAAAUGCAAUCCGACGAACAGCUAGUUCAAGCAGUGGAAGAAGCAAUCCUAAGUGUGACGCAAAGCGGCUUUACUAAACAAAUCUCAGGAGAAAUAGUUCGGUCGAAUUAGGUUUUAUUAUUAAAUUAUGUCUUGAAGCAGUAAAAUCGAUAAUCAAUUCCACCCGAACAUCUGGAACCAGAAUUAAACUUAUCAAAGUUUUUCAUUGGCAUGCAGUUUCCAGAUGCAAAAUUCCAGCGCUUGAAAUAUGAUACUUUUCGUCUGCUCGGAACUAUAAGCCCGAUGAUUGUCUGGCACGUGAAUGAACAGUGUUCUCUCCUGGGUUAUAUCCAACGAUUUUAGAUUUUAGAAAAUUUCAAAUUAAGAAGUACAUAGCGAUGUCAAACGUCUCGACGUGUUAGAUUUCUAUCCCGAUUUGCCGAUGGUUUCAGAAUCGAAGAAGAAACACUGUUGUGGGUCAGAAUGCCAGACGCUUCACGUAUGCGUAAUCCGUACAGCUUUUGUUGUCUGGAUCAGGGUGCCAUUUGUAAUGUUUUUUUUAUUGCUCAUUGGGGCACUCAUCGAGAGGUGAUUGUUCCCAUUCAGAUGGGUAGGAAACUUGAUCAUGGAUAUGUCUCACAAAGGGAUGACCUUUUGAACCAGUCGUUUGUUAGUCGUUAAAAUCGUACUGUUGCCGUUAUUGUUGACAUCUUCAACGAACCGUGGCACAAUGUUUCGGUUUGGCGACAGAAGUGGACUAGAGAUGAUGUUUUGUUCAAUACCAUUAGUGGUGUUGGCGCCAUUAGCGUUGAUUUGGUUUAGUUUGUGGACGUUACCGUGGUGUGGGAUAGAGAACAUUGGCUGCUUUGCUGUACACCGCGGAUGAAGGAGUGGUGGCUUGAGACUUUAUGUACGGAGAAAAAUUACAAAGAGGUGACGAUUCCGACAUGGAUCCACUGCUUUCUGGAAUUUGGCUCUUUGGGUUGGUAGAUAUCAACCUGACUGCGUUGCUGACGCAAUGCUUCCUUGCAUUCCAUGUAAAACGAGUAUUGAAAGAUGCUGCAUGAUACAAUUUGAAUGAAUUAUAGUGAUCAGGUAUACCUGUAAGUUUGAAUAUUUCCUAGCGUUCGCAUCUGUUCUUCGGACUUGGUUCUAUAUUCUUCUUUCUUUGUUUUUAAGAGGCUUUAAACUUUGCAGUUCAUUCGCCUCUAGGUUCUAUCAAAUUUUAAAUCAUCUUCUAGAGAAAUAUCGACGCUACAAAUGAAUGAAUAGGAUAAUUGACUUUGAUUUUUUCCGAAUGCGUUUAUAUUACUUACUCUUAUUCGACAGCUUCUUCUGCUCGAGAUGAUUCUGCAGCGCGAUGUCGAAGUUUCACCGGCAGGGCAGUGAUGUUGUUGCAGCUGAUAUCAAGGAAUACCAGCUGCAGCACGGUGAGAUCCUGGGGCAGAUAGACGAGCUGAUUGUUGCGCAGAGUGAGCGAACGCAAAUUCCGUACCCAGUCGGGGAGGAAGAUGAGUGAUUUGGUUCCAGGCGGCAUCGAGCUCGAUCAGCUCCUCCAUCCGACCAAACUCAAAAUCAAAAUCAAAACAGGAGUGUGAAAUGUAAACACCUGUCAUCGAUGUCGAUAAUGUAGAUUAUAGUUUAGUAAAAUACGACGAAUGGUUCGCUCGAAAACAAGGAUGGGAUUCGUGUACGUUUCCUAUUCGUACGAAAACCAGAAUAAGGAUGAUGAUUUUUGACAUUAAAAUUUGAUGCGGGGUGAUUUGGUCCAGUGUGUGUUUCAUCGAAAAAACAUACUUAUGUUUAUGUAAAGUAUUUUGGCAUAAUGUUACGAUCAGUAACAGUAUUCUGGGAUCGAUUCCAGGUGUCUUGGCCAGAUUCCAGACCAGAACAAUUGGAUUGAGUCCAUUUAGAAUUCUGCAUGGAUCUUUUCAUUGUUGUUCGAACAUUUUCAAACACUUUCGAUGCUUGGUCAAAGAAAAUCCGUUUUUGGUGGCCUGCGUUGCUCUUCCAAGCUAUUCCUUCUUUCAACGUUGUCUACCCAUCCUUCUUUUUGUAAUUCAGCGAGAUCUGAAAUCAAUUAGACCAAAGAAAAGCCUCAAACAGUUCGCUGUCAGGUGUAACAUAUGUCGAGCUUGAAUUGUUUCAAAAAUUUCGGCUUCUUUAGACGAUUUUGACCAUUCUUGUAAUUCUCGAUGAAAAUGACCAAUGCAUUCCAACAUUCCCUCUUCCAUCGUUGGAUCGGGUCCGGAAGGUCAUUUGCCUGGUUUGCUCCUCUCAUGAGGAAUUCUCCUUUCAGUAGCAAAUUUUUAGUCGUUGGAUUUUAAUAAAACCUUCUUAAUGGCCAUUUCGACUAGACUAUUCCUUUUAACAGCGAAAAAAAUUACCAGUGCAUUGAGUCUGAUCACAACAUUAGUCAGAGAUCGUCCUUUGAUUUGCAAAUAUUCUGCGCUAGAUUUAUGUAGUACAACGUAUCAGAAGUACCGAUAACACAGAAGUAUUAAAUCAUAAUAUUUUGGUGCACCGUGCACAUGAUCCAGUAUUUGAAUCGCACAAUACUCCAGUGGCUGUGAUCAGCCCAUAAAUUGGUUUUACAGCAUUAUCCACUCCACCCAGUUUGCAAUAAUCUUUCAACAACACACCUGUGUGACUGCGAAAAGCGAGUGAACAGAUUAAACAGUUCUAAAAAUCUCACACGCUGGUUUAGAGGCGAAUGAACUGAAAAGUUUAAAGCCUCUUUAAUUCAACAUCAUCAUCAUCAUCACACGCUGUAGAUUUCCAAAAUCAUGUUGUCCUCAUAUGUUGUCUAGCAACCCUAUGGAUACGGAUUUUUUGUUUUGUUUUCUCAACAAAACCUGAACUCCUUCGUUUGAUCCUGACAUGGUUGGAGCGGUCAACUUAGUAAUCAUUUGUUUGAAGUUGCAUCUAAAUCAAUUCUCAAUAAAUGGAUGAAUGGAUAUUUUGUUUUCUCUUGAAAUUGUCUUGCGUUCUUUUCAAAUACAGGGUUUUCCAUUUCGGGCUUCCGAAAGUAUACAGCCCUACGCUGACAACCGUUUGACAUAGCUGUCAACCAAAGCGUCAUAUCGUUAGUUGAAUGUCUACCAUUUUACAAUAUGGAUCUUUUUAGCUUCGCACAACGUGUUAAUUUUGUUAAAUUAUACUAUAAAAAUGAUGAAAACCCGGCAAAUGUUUUUCGAGCAUUACGGACGGAUUUUGGUCGUCAUGGACGGCAUACAGAGCACACAAUCGCUAAUGUAGUGCGUAAAUUCGAACAAACUGGAUCCGUAGCGGAUAUUGUGAAAACUGUGCAUCAUCGUAAUGUGCGUUCGGCCGAAAAUAUUGCUGCUGUUGCUACCAGUGUGGACGAUGACCCGAAUGUUUCGAUUCCACGGCGUGCUCAGCAAUUGGGCUUGUCAAACACAUCAUUGUGGCGAAUUUUGCAUUUGGACUUGCAGCAAAAUGCUGAAUUUUCGCAUCAAAUUUUCUUCAGCGAUGAGGCACAUUUCGAGCUCGGUGGCUAUGUGAACACCCAAAAUUUCCGUAUAUGGGGCUCAGAAAAUCCACACGUGAUUGUUGAGAGGCCAUUGCAUCCGCCAAAAGUCACUGUUUGGUGCGCAUUAUUCUCUGGUGGAGUCAUCGGGCCGUAUUUCUUUGAAAAUGAGGACGGCGAGACGAUUGAAGAUAUGAAUACGGAUGACAUGUGGUUUCAGCAGGACGGCGCCACGUGCCACACAACACGACCGAACAUGGCCAUAUUGCGAACGAAAUUUGAGGGAUGCAUAAUUUCGCGUUUUGGUGAUGCCAAUUGACCGUCCAGAUCAUGCGAUUUGAACCCGCUAGACUUUUUUUUUGUGGGGUUAUGCGAAAGACCGUGUCUAUGCCAACUCUCCGCAAACUUUUGACCAUUUGAAAGACAACAUUCGUGAAGUUAUGGCCGAGAUACCGCCCCAUAUGUACCGAAAAGUCAUCGAAAAUUACCUGUUCCGGAUCAAGGUGUGCGAGGAAGCCCUAGGUGGACAUUUGAAUGAUGUUGUAUUUCACACAUAA